rnacentral:rRNA from 1 species
CAAGCGGUGGAGCAUGUGGUUUAACUCGAUGCAACGCGAAGAACCUUACCUACUCUUGACAUCCAGCGAACUUAGCAGAGAUGCUUUGGUGCCUUCGGGAACGCUGAGACAGGUGCUGCAUGGCUGUCGUCAGCUCGUGUUGUGAAAUGUUGGGUUAAGUCCCGCAACGAGCGCAACCCUUAUCCUUUGUUGCCAGCGAUACGGUCGGGGACUCAAAGGAGACUGCCGGUGAUAAACCGGAGGAAGGUGGGGAUGACGUCAAGUCAUCAUGGCCCUUACGAGUAGGGCUACACACGUGCUACAAUGGCGCAUACAAAGAGAAGCGACCUCGCGAGAGCAAGCGGACCUCAGAAAGUGCGUCGUAGUCCGGAUCGGAGUCUGCAACUCGACUCCGUGAAGUCGGAAUCGCUAGUAAUCGUGGAUCAGAAUGCCACGGUGAAUACGUUCCCGGGCCUUGUACACACC